UUUGAAAGGGGCUAGCGUUGUUCGGAAUUACUGGGCGUAAAGCGCACGUAGGCGGCCUUGUAAGUUGGGGGUGAAAUCCCGGGGCUCAACUCCGGAACUGCCUUCAAGACUGCAAAGCUAGAGGACGCGAGAGGUUAGCGGAAUUCCGAGUGUAGAGGUGAAAUUCGUAGAUAUUCGGAAGAACACCAGUGGCGAAGGCGGCUAACUGGCGCGUUUCUGACGCUGAGGUGCGAAAGCGUGGGGAGCAAACAGG
rnacentral:rRNA from 1 species